UUCCCGAGAAGAGAAAAGAGAAGGUCGUUUUUCAUCAUAGAUCUUCUUAGGUUUCAGAUGUUUCCUCAAAUCAAAACCUUCAUUUCAACAUCUCAGAUAACCUAACCAAAACCCAUCUUUUAUCAUCACAGAUCUACUAUCUCAGAUAACCUAAUCAAAACCUAGAAAAUCAAUUUUUUUCCCUGAAAUCUAAAAUCAAACUAUUCAAUAGUUGAUUCGGCAUCAGUUUGACAGUUCAGUAAGGAUUAUCAUUAGGGUUGUGGGCUUUUGGUAUCUGAAGGUGUUUAUGUAUCGAGCUUGUUGGCUGUUCUCGUAGAUAGAGGCUAGGAUAGCACUUGAGCGAAGGAAGUUUCUGAAGAAUGCUGAGACGGCUGUGCACCGGCAAGCUAUGUGGUCUAACCUGGCUCACGAAAUGACUGCUGAAUUUCGUGGUAGUUACGCAGAAAAGCGUAUCUGCAGCAAGAGCUGGAAAAGCUACAAGAUUUGAGACACAAAGCCAAGUUAGAUGGGGAACUGUGGGGCGACCGUGUUUCUAGCUCCUUGGAUCAGAAUUUACAUUUGGUUCCCAAGGCAACUCGCUUAUGGGAGUCUUUACUUCCGCGCAAGAGUAAGCACAUAUUAUUGACAUUGGUAAUCAAGUAGUAAUAACCAUUUUAGUUGUAAACUUCCCCU